rnacentral:snRNA from 1 species
AUCGCUUCUCGGCCUUUUGGCUAAGAUCAAGUGUAGUAUCUGUUCUCCAGCAAGUUUCAAGAGUAUACUGUUUAGAGAAUUCAAACUACAGCUGUUUUUCGGUUUUCCAACGGUCAUUUGACUUUUAAAAUUCCCGGUAAUUAGUAUUCUGUUUUGGAAGCGUUUAUAUUAU